GGGGCUGUGAUUGAGGAACUCAAUGUGAGAAUCAGGGAGCUGGAAGAUCAAGUACAGAUCCUUCAAAGACAAUUGCCUGAAGAGGUUAGGAGAAACGCAACGGAAGAUGAAGGAGCAGCAGCCCAAAACAACCCAGAGGAUGAUGUUGAGGAGCUCAGAGAGAGAAUCAGGGAGCUGGAACUGGAAAACAGAAGACUUCGUGGGCUUCAAGACGAUUAGAUGUGUCUUCAGACCAGGUCCACACCCGAGGCCUGUGUACCACAGUUCCACUUGUGGGAGCAAAUAAAGUGCAUCAUAAUCCUGAAUACUGAAAACCGGCUUUCAUUUAGUGCUGAACUUCACAAAGAAGAAAUGAAUUUCAAUUCAUCUAAGGCUUAGGAAUAGAUUUAAACUU